GUAAUUUUAAACCAUGUUAUAUAAUUAUAAACCAAGCAGAAGUCUGGGGGCUUCUACAACCAAUAAUUCAUACGGUAAAGGAAAGGAACUUGCCCAAGAUCGCACACCUUGGAAGUUGCAGUGCCUGCUUUGUCUGUCCUCUUAGAUACUAUGCAAGUCACAGGCCAAUAAAUGCAUUAUGUUAUUAUGGCAGUGGGAAUGCUGGAUGAUUGAAAGACUUGUUCAAGACAAAGAAGACACCCAUGGCAGAGCUAAAAUAAGAAUAAUUUGCUCUUUAAUAGUAAAGUAAUUCUUUGUCUUAACCAUCUGAUCCUAAUGAAAAAUGACUGAUGAUUUAAUGCAGACUAAAAACCAAAACUUGAAUUGAUUCGUUGACAUGGACAAAACUAGAAUUGCCUGCAAAUAUUCCCACAGCAGUGAUAAGAGCCACCCUUACGAAAGAAAUGAAAUAUGCAUGAAGGCUGCAGGUGGCAACCCCGCUCUCCCCACAGAGUAUACCUUUCCUCCGUGGGCCUUGCUUACUCCACUUCCCUUCCCCCUGAGACCCAGAGGUCUCACAUUCUUUUCCCUUCCUUCCCAUUAACCCUUGGACUUGAAGAAAUAAAACAAUUCAUCAUAGAAAACAUAAAGUAGCGAUUAUUAUCCCAAGUACAACCAAGAGGAUACUAUUCAUUGCAAACUGAGGAUUCAAAAUUGCUUUGAACUUGGUUAAUCUUUUGGUGUUUGUCUGAUAAUAAUACAAAUCUAAGAAGACUUUUUUGCAUAAUUUUGUUCAUGUGUUUUCAAAAUAUGUUAAUGCACCCAACACUCAUAUUUGAAUUUCUAAGUACUCACACCAGUCUCCAAUAAAAGGAACCAGGGCUCCUUGGUGAAAUAGCUGAUUCUAGAGCUGGGUCAAGGAAAAUACAAGAUGAGCUUAGAGCAUGAUCUAGUGCCAAAAAUAAGGAAGUG
rnacentral:lncRNA from 10 species